GAUCCUGGCUUAGGAUGAACGCUAGCGACAGGCUUAACACAUGCAAGUCGAGGGGCAGCAUAAAAGUAGCAAUACUUGGUGGCGACCGGCGCACGGGUGAGUAACGCGUAUGCAACCUACCUAUCAGAGGGGAAUAACCCGGCGAAAGUCGGACUAAUACCGCAUAAAACAGGGGCACCGCAUGGUGAUAUUUGUUAAAGAAAUUCGCUGAUAGAUGGGCAUGCGUUCCAUUAGGUAGUUGGUGAGGUAACGGCUCACCAAGCCGACGAUGGAUAGGGGAACUGAGAGGUUGGUCCCCCACACUGGUACUGAGACACGGACCAGACUCCUACGGGAGGCAGCAGUGAGGAAUAUUGGUCAAUGGGCGGGAGCCUGAACCAGCCAAGUCGCGUGAAGGGAAAAGAAGGAUCUAUGGUUCGUAAACUUCUUUUGCAGGGAAUAAAGUGCAGGACGUGUCCUGUUUUGUAUGUACCCUGAGAAUAAGGAUCGGCUAACUCCGUGCCAGCAGCUGC
rnacentral:rRNA from 1 species